rnacentral:rRNA from 1 species
CUAACGGCGUACCUUUUGCAUGAUGGGUCAGCGAGUCAAUAGAGUGAGCAGCUUAAAGCGUUAGUUGUAGGCCCUUAGUCAUAGUUGUCUUUCUAUGUUCUUCCUAUUGUACCCGAAACUGGUCGAGCUAGCCAUGAGCAGGUUGAUGAGAGAAUACACUCUGCUUUAAGGACCGAACCCACGCAUGUGGCAAAAUGCGGGGAUGACUUGUGGCUAGGAGUGAAAGGCCAACCAAGACCGGAUCUAGCUGGUUUUCCGCGAAAUCUAUUGAAGUAGAGCGUAUAAUGGAUCUGUCCCGAGGUAGAGCACUCAAUGACCUUAAUUAGGCUGUCUCUGCCUGAACUAUGUCAAAGAAACUUCGAAUACGGUCCUAUCUUAUUGUACAGACAGACUUUAGGGUGCUAAGAUCCAAAGUCGAGAGGGAAACAGCCCAGAUCGUAGGCUAAGGUCCCAAAGCAAUCACUUAGUGUAUAAGGAAGUGAUCCAGUACCGACAACCAGCAGGUGGGCUUGGAAGCAGCCAUCCUUCUAUAGAGAGCGUAAUAGCUCACUGGUCUAGCUAGAUCGUACCAAAAAUGUAUCGGGGCUCAAGUGAUUCACCGAAGCAACGAGAGUGAUUCAGUAGCGGAACGUUCUGUACAUCAUAGAAGGGUUUUGAUGACAAGACCUUGAGAUAUCAGAAGUGAGAAUGCUGACAUGAGUAACGAAAAA